UUGAGCGGGUUACCUGCUAGUAAAUCACCGGGCUCGCCUGCGAGCCAGGUGGUUUACACGAUCAACAAAAAUCGGGCUAGCCCGAUUUUUGUUGAUCAUGAGAAUGGCCCCAUUUUCAGGCAGAAGAGGAGGUUGUUGAAAUCCCCACCCCCCAAUCACUGAUGCUGUAUUGUCUCAUGGCUCAUCGACAUUUCAUCAGGAUGUUAGCCAGCAAGAAUUUUGCAUGAAAAAAAGUAACCCCACCAAAAAGGUUAGACUGCUUAAAUAUAUUUGGAACAUAUUUCUGAUUAAUCUCAUUCCAGCCAUGGCGAUACAGUGGAUAAGAUUGUGUUUAGAUGUAUAUAAUUUAUUCAGUACUGGAAUGAGAAACUGCAAGAUUCAGCAUACUCACAUGUUCUCUACAAUAUAAACUCUGUUGAAUAAAAUGUGACCCCAAAAUGCUAUCCUCCACUUUCACUGUACAGUGUUACCUACCAUUUAACAACCUUAGGACCGUUGCUGCUGUGUGUUUAGAUCCAGGUGACCGCAGUGACAGGUGUGCUGGGUUUUUUUUGGCAAACAUACCAAUGCAGAAUGUUCCCUAAAGACGGGAAGCUUGAAAUCCCACAAAUUUCAUUGCUACCAAGUAAUUCUAGUGAUGCUUUCCGCAAUCCUUUGACACCCACAUAUCUAGAAACCAUACAGUUCUCUCUUCAACAUGUGGACAUGAUACACACUAACUUAAUUUUCACUCCACACCCAGUGCAAGCGCUAUAUAACUUAUCUUUCAAAUGCUACGUGCAGGCAGACAAGGAGAUCAUAAGCCCUUUAAUGGUGGAAGGAGAUCAUAAGCCCUUUAAUGGUGGGAGUUUCAAAGAUGGUAAAACACUGGAAAAUGAAAAGUAUAUUGCAAGAUUUUGUAUGCCACGGAGUUUAUUCUGCAAUAGAUAUGCUUAGUUGGUGGCUGACCAAUGGAAAGUAGAAGACCUGGAAUGGAUAUUGGAGGGCCUGAAAGCAGGUCUUGCCUGAUAUUGGAAGACCUGAAAGCAGAAGACCUGGAACUGAUAUUGGAUUGAGACUUAUCAAACAUCUCAUCUGCUUCCCAUAGGGUUGCUGCAGAAAAGAGACUGAGAGAGAGUUUUCUGAGGAGAGAUUUUCUGAAGGAGAAAACGAGGAUCUUGAGAAGAAGAUGGAUUCUGAAGAAGAGGAGUGUAUGAAGUUAUUGAGGUGGGGAAAUCCGAGAAGGGACAGGAUCUGGAAGACUGGAAGGAGAAGAAAGGGGCAGCUUUCUACUGUCAAGCAGCUGUAGGAUCAGCACUACUGACCAAGGCCAGAAGCUGCAGACACACCUGAAGAUCUGCUUCAUUGUCCAUUUUGUGGAAUACAAAACCUUGUGAGACUCCUCCUUCUGGUCCAACUUACUUUCGCUCUUAUGAACAACAACCUUCUAAGUGAACUGAUAUCCAGGGUCCAGGGCUGGCCUGGGCACUAGGGUGGCACAGGUGCGGGUGCUGCUGCUCUGUGCAGGUGCUGCAGCAAUGAAUAGCCACAGAGGGGGUGUCCGCUGGGGCAAGGAGGUUGGUGAAGAAGUGCCCCCUGCUCCUGUCUCCAGCUGACUGAUAUGCAUGCUCAGUGGCCCUUUGAGAAGUCAGCCCAGUGAAAAAACUUUGUCAGACUGACUCCUCAGAUGUCUGCCGCACAUGUGUCUGCUCCUACUAGCUGAGCGGUAGGAGCAGGCUGUGCAGUGGGGCGGAGUCUGCAUGUAGCUGGGUAGUGGCAGGCAACAGUAGCAGGACCGUGGACACCUAGCACGUAUUUAUUUAUUUAUCAAAUUUGUACACCGCCCCAAACUUUCGUCUCUGGGCGGUUAACAAUAGCAUAAAACAAGUUAAAAACAUUUACAAAAAUUUAACAAAUUAAUUAACAAGAGAUUAAAACCUAAACAAUUUAGGAAGCUGAGAAAGCUUGGGUGAAAAGAUGGGUUUUCAGGUGUUUUUUGAAAAUUGCCAGAGAUGGGGAGGAUCAUAUCUCAGCAGGGAGCGCAUUCCACAAUCUUGGGACAGUGACCGAGAAGGCCCGUCUCUGUGUAGCCACCAGACGAGUUGGCAGUAACUGGAGACGGACCUCCUCAGAUGACCUCAAUGGGCGGUGGGGCUCGUAGUGAAGAAGACGCUCUCUUAGAUACCCAGGGCCUAAGCUGUUUAGGGCUUUGUAAGUUCUAACUAGCACUUUGUAUUUUGUCUGGAAACCUAUUGACAGCCAGUGUAGCUCCAUCAGUAAAGGAGUAAUGUGGUCUUUCUGCAUUACAGUAUAAUCUGCUUCCUCAUCACUCCCCCUGCCCCAGCCCGCCCCAGCCACCAAGUAUGAGUUUGGUACCACCCCCCCCCCCACCAUUAACAUUAUAUUCUGUAUGGUAUGGAAUGUGGCAGGGACAUAAAAGUCAUAUUUCACCUAGCGUGCCAAAAACCCUGCCAGCCCUGCCAGUAUCUGUGUAUGUGAGAGAGAUACUGUAUUUACCUGAAUCCAAAACUAUUUGAUUUUGAUAAAAUUCCCUUUUUUGCCCAUACUCUUUCUGCUAAAUAUGACGGAAUCUUACAUCCCCAUUAAGUUUACUGAGUUAUCCUUAUACAUGAUUACGGCAGCUAGGAUUUUAUAUGCUUCUAAUUGGCACUCUUAGGUGAUUCCAUCUUUAAACGAUUGGUUUUUUAAAUUAAGGGACUAUGCUUCUAUCUCCAAGGUUACUGCUUAUAUGAACAGCGCCUCAACAGAGUCAUUAUGCUUGUUUGGGAACUUUUUAUAAACUUUUAAUGUUCGACAAGUUCAUCAUUUGUUCCCGAGAUCUGUGUUUGAUCUGUAAACUAUUUUGUAUAUCUAUGGUAAUUAUGCUUCCAUUGAGACCAGCAGGUGGAAGUAAUCUUUUCUUUUUUCUUCUCUUUUAGUACUCCCCCCACCAUGUUUCAGACGUUUUCUUGUCCCUGAUCUCUGAUCCACUUUAAAGGUCUUACCUUAUUCAAGAGAUGUAAUCAAGAGAUGUUUCAAGAGAUGUAAUCAAGCUUUGCUCUUUUACUAUUUUAAUUAAUAAAUAAAUUUUCAAAGAAAAAAAAUAAAGCUAAAAUAUAAAAACAUGAAAUCUGACUAAAAGGAUUUAAAAUACAAGCAUAAAAUAACCAUACAAAAUACAAUAAACAAAGAAGCAGCAGUAGAGACAAUCAUAUAAAAGCCUGGGUAAAAAGCCAAGAUUUCACACGCUUUCUAAAAACUGUGAUGGAGACUGAGGAGUGAAUCCAGAGCAACAGCAACAGAGAAGCUUCUGACCAUUUUUGUGUGGGUGUCUGGAGUGUGAAUUCUGGAGAAAAACAGGGGAAAGUUACAGCUGCACUCUUGCUCCUCCCUCAAGCCCUGAGGACAGGUUGGUGAACAUAUCCAAAUAGUCCCAGGCAACUCCCUAGCCUAGGUGGUAGGUUCAAGGCUCAGGCCAUAACAUUGUCAGUUCAUAUCCCAGAGUCUGUGCCUAACUGGACUAAACUACCUAGUUUAAAAACCCUAGGGCUACUUAGAAAGCUAGGAGAUUAAAAUGAUGCCGUUUUACUUCUAAGUGAAGUUGAUCAAUAUUUGCCAACUAGAAUAAUAAUCCCUUCUUUUGACAGGUACUGAGCAAACAGUCAUCCCACAGAUGCAAACAGCUAAGCCUGUGAACCAUGGCUAUGAUAUGGUUGGUAUGUGGGAACCAAAUGUUAGACUUCAUUUGUGGCUGCAACCUUUCAAUUGAGUGGAUUGGGAAGUACCUGCUGUUUGUUUAACUAGGGCUUUUGUCUGACAUUUAGUUAGAGAGAUGUUUAACUUUUUAUGAUCAGCGGUUCAGAUAAGUGAGAGCAGGUAGGGGCCGUAGCUUGGUGGCAGAACACCUGCCUUGCAUGCAGAGGAUCUCAGGUUCAAUCCCUGGCAUCAUCUCCAGGUUGGACGGGGAAAGCUCUGUGUUUGAAACCCUGGAGAGCUGCUGCCAGUCAGGGAACCAGAUGGACCAAUGGCCUAUGUUCAAAUUCAGCAGCCAAGGAAACCAAUGUGCAUCGUACCGUUUUCCUUCAUGUCUUCUGUUACCUUUGCUUUCUGGAGAAGUUAUGAAUUAGGGGUGUGCAAUUUGGAUUUUCGGUGUUUCUAUUCGGAUCCGAACUGAAACACACCUGUUCUGUAUCCGAAUAUGGCCCAUCCGAAUCACCCCUGAUUCAAUUCGGAUCUGAAUUAAUCCGAAUCCGGA